GAUUCCUGCGGAAACAGAUCCUCAAGGUGCAUGUGCUCAAGUGUGUUGUGGAGUGUGAUUAAUCAAGUUUGGCAAGGGAUUCCUGCUGAAACAGAUCCUCAAGGGGCAUGUGCUCAAGUGUGUCGUGGAGUGUGAUUAAUCAAGUGUGGAAAGGGAUUCCUGUGGAAACAGAUCCUCAAGGCGCAUGUGCUCAAGUGCGCUGUGGAGCGUGAUUAAUGCCAGAUAGGAAGUGUUUAUGGCAUCUCUUGGUAACUGGAAGGGUGCUUAUUCAAUAUAAUUUUAGUUUAUACCUAUUUAUUAGUCUCCUACUGGUGAAACCAGAGGGGACUUAUGGUGUGCGCUCUGUGUGUCUGUGAGUCUAUCAGUCUGUCACACUUUUCUUGAUCCUGGGUUAACUUUAAAAGUUCAUCAUAUUUUUUCAUGAAACUUAAAAUAUGGACAGAUGGCAAUAUGGAGAUUAUGCAGGUCAUUUCAUUUUGUUUUGUACAACAAGAAUUCUGGUUGCUAUUGCAACAAAUAGAUCAAAAAUAUUGCUGAAAAUGGUGGAGUUACACUGGUAGGGACUUUUAUGGCUUGGCAAAAGUCUUGUUAAUGCUGGAUUGCAUCGAAAGCCUAAGGCUGAUUGAAACGCUCUUGAGUCUGUUUCCUCGUAAUGGCCAGUACUUGGUUUCUUUGGAGAGAUCUAAAGAAUGUUCCAACUUUGUGUGACCCAAACCAUGACACCAAGGCUGCUAGGUGGACACCAUAUUAAGUACACCAUGGCGAACAGGAAAAUAAUAGGGCUGUAUAUUAGGAAGCCUGUAGGAUAUCUGGCAAAUAUUAAAAUUGACCUUUGGGUGCCACAAGGAUGUCUUAUCAUAUAUAAAUUAGCAGCGCUCUGGUUAAAAGAGGGUUUAAUGCAUGAGUGUAAAGUGUUGUCCCAGAUAAGCCAAUGCAGUAACGGAUGACUCUUGCCACUUGUAUGAUAGUAAGGGAUGACUCUUGCCACUUGUAUGAUAGUAAGGGAUGACUCUUGCCACUUGUAUGAUAGUAUUCGUGUAAAGAAGGUCUUUUCUUAGUUAAAGUGGAAAUUGUAAUCAAUGAUUAGCCUAUGCGGACUGUUCAGGCUUGUCUGGGGCCUCUCUUUAUGCACAUGCAGUAGGCCACGUCUUACCGAGAGAGGCUCAUAAUGUUUAAUUUUGAUGCCAGAAGUUAAACCAUCAGAAAUCGUUCAUCGUUAAAAGGGAGUCCGGUGAAAAUACAUUGAUUGAUUUGAAGAAGUAAGGAUCUUAAUCAAAUACGUAUUUUGUCUCUUGGAAGCCAAUUAAAAAAAAUUCCUUUAGUAAAACGAAAUGCUCUAUAAUUUGGUAUGUGUACAUUAACAAGGAUUGCAGUUUAAAUUAACAAAAAGUUGAAUAUUAUGUUGUUUUUCAAGUCUUACGUGAAGACGGAAGUUUAAUAUAUGUUUUUGUGAGAAAUACAUUUUUUCUAUAUUCCAGAUCAUGCAGUAUAUCUACCUGUAAAAUGGUUGCUAUGGAUGCAAAUUAAGCACUAAAUAUUAGGUUAAAAGAUGUUUUCUAUUAUUUAGCGAUUCAAGUUAAAUGACUGUCGAAUUAGAAAAAUAGUUUGCUCGUCCAUCUGUCAAUAGCUCACAUGGUUUUAAAGAUCCCACUAAGGGGGGCCUUAGUGUUUUACAGGCACAUUAUAAAUCAGUAUUUUAAAUGUGCAAGAACAAUUUGAUCUAAUUAGAAAAAUAUUAACAUAAGAAAGUUAAAUGUUGUAGGAAGUGCAUAUGUUAAAUCCAUCUUUUUGAGAUGAUUAUGUGUUAACAACUGUUCUCUUUCAAUUGAAUUGAUUUCAGAAUGAAUUUAAAUUGUUCUUUACAUAUAAUUGUAUAUAGAACUAUUGUUUUAUUUGUUUUAUAUGUGAUGAAUGAUAUAUUUGUGUUAACAUCUUUUCUCUUUAAAUUGAAUUUAUUUCAGAAUGAAUUUUAAUUGUUCUUUACAUAUAAUUGUAGAUAUAACUAUUGUUUUAUUUAUUUGUUUUAUAUGUGUUUGUUUUAAUGCUCCCCGAAAUAAAAUUUCGGCGGAGCAUAUAGUGGCCAGUUUGUCCUUCCUUCCUUACUUCCGUCACACUGUUGUUACAGUUUCUCAUAGCACCUUCAAUACUUAACCAAUCUCUUUCAUAUUUGGCAUGUAGGUACCUUUCAUGGACCUCUACCUUUUGAUGACGUAUGAGGUCACUAGGGUCAUGGUCAAGGUCACUGAGGCUAAUAAUAGAUUAUUCUGUCACACUUUUGUUACAGUUUCUCAUAGCACCUUCAAUACUAAACCAAUCUCUUUCAUAUUUGGCAUGUAGGUACCUUGCAUGGACCUCUACCUUUUGAUGAGGUUUGGGGUCACUGGGGUCAAGGUCAAGGUCACUGAGGCUAAUAAUAGGUUUUUCUGUCACUCUUUUGUUACAGUUUCUCAUAGCACCUUCAAUACUUAACCGAUCUCUUUCAAAUUUGGCAUGUAGGUACCUUGCAUGGACCUCUACCUUUUGAUGAGGUUUGAGAUCACUGGGGUCAAGGUCACUGAGGCUAAUAAUAGAUUCUUCUGUCACACUUUUGUUACAGUUUCUCACAUCACCUUCAAUACUUAACCGAACUCUUUCAUAUUUGGCAUGUAGGUACCUUGCAUGGACCUCUACCUUUUGAUGAGGUUUGAGGUCACUGAGGUCAAGGUCACUGAGGCUAAUAAUAGAUUUUUCCGUCACUCCUUUGUUACAGUUUCUCAUAGCACCUUCAAUACUUGACCGAUCUCUUUCAUAUUUGGCAUGUAGAUACCUUGCAUGGUCCGACCUGUACCUUUUGAUGAGGUUUGAGGUCACUGGGGUCAAGGUCAAGGUCACUGAGGCUGAUAAUAGAUUUUUCCGUCACUCUUUUGUUACAGUUUCUCAUAGCACCUUCAUUACUUAACCUAUCUCUUUCAUAUUUGGCAUGUAGGUACCUUGCAUGGCCCUGUACUUUUUGAUGAGGUUUGAGGUCACUGAGGUCAAGGUCAAGGUCACUGAGGCUGAUAAUAGAUUUUUCCGUCACUCUUUUGUUACAGUUUCUCAUAGCACCUUCAAUACUUAACCAAUCGCUUUCAUAUUUGGCAUGUAGGUACCUUGCAUGGACCUCUACCUUUUGAUGAGGUUUGAGGUCACUUGGGUCAAGGUCACAGAGGCUUAUAAUAGAUAUUUUUAGGUGUUCAUUAACACAUACAUUGACAAAGCGCAUCAUCGGGGUGCAUUCAUCAGUUUCACUGAUAUUCUUGUUUUCUCAUGUACCUAGGCUGUGAAUGAAAUGUGAAUAAAUAUUGUGAUGUAUAAUGUUUAGACUUUUAUUUUCAAACAAAACAUAAACAUUCUAUUACAUAAGGCAUUAUUGUAAGUCUGUAAACUAUUUGCCAUUUGGGAAAGUUUACACUUAUAAACUGUAUUUUUUUUAUAACCAAUUUUCAGUUCAAAGAAUCUUUAUUAUUAAAAAUGUGUGAAUUUACGGUAACAGUCUUUGUUAACUUUUUGCAGUUUUAUGGAAAGCUCAAAACUAUUUACGAUAUGUUAUACAAAUGUGUAGUUUUAAAGAACCUAUAGUAAUAAAUUAAAGUAUUUCUCAA